rnacentral:rRNA from 1 species
AGAUUGAACGCUGGCGGCAUGCCUUACACAUGCAAGUCGAACGGCAGCACGGGAGCAAUCCUGGUGGCGAGUGGCGAACGGGUGAGUAAUACAUCGGAACGUGCCCAGUUGUGGGGGAUAGCCCGGCGAAAGCCGGAUUAAUACCGCAUACGACCUACGGGUGAAAGCGGGGGGAUCGCAAGACCUCGCGCUAUUGGAGCGGCCGAUGUCGGAUUAGCUUGUUGGUAGGGUAAAAGCCUACCAAGGCUACGAUCCGUAGCUGGUCUGAGAGGACGACCAGCCACACUGGGGACUGAGACACGGGCCCAGACUCCUACGGGAGGCAGCAGUGGGGAAUUUGGACAAUGGGCGAAAGCCUGAUCAGCCAUGCGCGUGCGGGAAGAGGCCUUGGUGUAACCGCUUUGUCAGGAGAAACGGUUGAGCUAAUAUCUACGGACUAAAGUGAACGUACCGUGAACG